AUUUCAUGCGUUCACAUAAGAACAUAGCUUUGAAGCAGCUAAACUCGAUUCUAGUGUUCGCUGAAAUA
rnacentral:tRNA from 1 species